GAUGAACGCUAGCGAUAGGCUUAACACAUGCAAGUCGAGGGGCAGCAUGGUCUUAGCUUGCUAAGACUGAUGGCGACCGGCGCACGGGUGCGUAACGCGUAUGCAACUUGCCUCACAGAGGGGGAUAACCCGUCGAAAGACGGACUAAUACCGCGUACACUCCAUCUUGGGCAUCCAAGGUAGAGGAAAUGAAAUUCGCUGUGAGAUAGGCAUGCGUCCCAUUAGCUAGUUGGUGAGGUAACGGCUCACCAAGGCGACGAUGGGUAGGGGAACUGAGAGGUGGAACCCCCACACUGGUACUGAGACACGGACCAGACUCCUACGGGAGGCAGCAGUGAGGAAUAUUGGUCAAUGGGCGAGAGCCUGAACCAGCCAAGUCGCGUGAAGGAUGACUGUCUUAUGGAUUGUAAACUUCUUUUAUACGGGAAUAACAAGAGUCACGGGUGACUCCCUGCAUGUACCGUAUGAAUAAGCAUCGGCUAACUCCGUG
rnacentral:rRNA from 1 species